UUUGUAUCUUACUGUGUUAUCUUUACUUUAUUACAUCUGUUACGCGUUAAUUACUCUUCUUAUACGUGGAUAUUUCAUAUUAAAAUAAUCUCUCAAAAUACAGGACGUGAAAAAUACUUAUAACUAUGAAAUUACUUUUAUUUAUUGUGGUUAUUUCCAUGUUUGUGGAAAUACACCCAGCAGAGGGAAAAGCUUGUCCAAAACCGGUAUCUUGUUUGGAUGACCCCUGCAACAAUGCGAAGUGUCCAAAACACCCUGAUGCAACAUGCGAAGCAGACUACUGUAAAGGCGGAUGCGACACAAAAUGGUCAAUAGGAAAAACGCCUGUUAAUUGCAAAAGCAAGGGAAAAAACAAUUAACAAUAAAACAAUACGAUAAAAUGGAAAUACAAUAAUUAAUAAAACAUUCUAUUAUACUAGUGUACCUUAAUUAACGGUAUAAAAUAAAGUUUACUGAAACAUU